rnacentral:rRNA from 1 species
CCUACGGGAGGCAGCAGUGAGGGAUAUUGGUCAAUGGGGGAAACCCUGAACCAGCGAAGCCGCGUGAGUGAAGAAGUAUUUCGGUAUGUAAAGCCCUGUCAGCAGGGGAGAAAGAACUGACGGUACCUGACCAAGAAGCCCCGGCUAACUACGUGCCAGCAGCCGCGGGAAUACGUAGGGGGCAAGCGUUAUCCGGAAUUACUGGGUGUAAAGGGAGCGUAGACGGUGAUGCAAGUCUGGAGUGAAAGGCGGGGGCCCAACCCCCGGACCGCUCUGGAAACUGUGUAACUUGAGUGCAGGAGAGGUAAGCGGAAUUCCUAGUGUAGCGGUGAAAUGCGUAGAUAUCAGGAGGAACACCAGUGGCGAAGGCGGCUUACUGGACCGUAACUGACGUUGAGGCUCGAAAGCGUGGGGAGCAAACAGGAUUAGAUACCCCAGUAGUC